rnacentral:rRNA from 1 species
CAGCAGCCGCGGUAAUACGUAGGUGGCAAGCGUUGUCCGGAAUUAUUGGGCGUAAAGGGCUCGCAGGCGGUUUCUUAAGUCUGAUGUGAAAGCCCCCGGCUCAACCGGAGAGAGUCAUUGGAAACUGGGAAACUUGAGUGCAGAAGAGGAGAGUGGAAUUCCGCGUGUAGCGGUGAAAUGCGUAGAGAUGUGGAGGAACACCAGUGGCGAAGGCGACUCUCUGGUCUGUAACUGACGCUGAGGAGCGAAAGCGUGGGGAGCGAACAGGAUUAGAUACCCCUGUAGUCCCUGUCUCUUAUAC